GUGACGUCACGCGACGCGGGGCUGGCAGGUGCGGGCGGCAGGUACGGCAGGCGGCGCUCGUCCGGCUGCUCGGCCUCGCUGGGGACGAGCCUCGCUCUCCCCGCGCCGCCCGGCUGAUCCCGGCGCCACCCUCUGUCCCCACCUCUGUCCCCGAGGAGAGACACCAGCUUCAGUCUGUGUGACACAGUUUACCGGCAGGAAGGGGUGGAUGCCUAGUAGAGCGAGCGCACCGGUGACUAGAAUGGAAUCAUCGCCAGGACUCUGCAAGCUCUGUUGGGGCUCACACUGUUGGGUUCUAGUCACCACUGCUUGCCCAAUGUAAACAAAGGAAUCUGACAUACAAAGAUGCUCCACGGGACAUUGAAUGAAUGAAGGAAGAAAGGAAUAAUUGAAUGAAUGAGCAACUGAAUGAAAAGAUGGAGAAGUUUUGGGAAAUUUAGCAAAACUUAAGAGAAAUUUAGUGCUUCUAAGGAACAAUGAUGGCCUAGCCUCCCAAGCCUAGCUAAACAUGAUCAAGGGCCCACAGAUCAAUGAGAAAGUCACUCAGUGACCACUGCAUGAGAACCACUCUACAAGUGAAUGUACCACGGAGUACCUAAUAGGUAAUGUGGAAAAUAUGGGCCGUGAACCCAAAGCAGGGAGAGGUCCUGGUGAAAAGUCUUUGUGAGACAAGAGAUCCUGAAAUUCAUUUUGGUUCAGAUGUCCAAUCUCAUCACUCAGAGAAGCUCAUAAUGGGCUGGUAUUAUUUCUAUUCCACAAGAAAAGAAAUUGAGACAAGGUUGUUAAGCAAUUUGGCAAGAAGCUAGAAGCCUAUUUCAUUUCAUUUUACUUUCUGUGGUACUGGAGAUUGAACCCAGGGCCUUCGCACUGAGCUAUAUCCCCAGGCCUUUGUAAUUUUUUUUUGAGACAGUGUUUCACUAAAUCACUAAGUUGCCCACUAAGCUGCUUGAUAAGUGGGUUCAAACUUGUGAUUCUUUCCCUGGGCAGGGGGGAAAGCUAGGGCAUUUGUAACAAAUUACCACUAAAUGGGCAGUUUAAAACUACAGUGUUGCACAACUGUGGAGGCUGCAAAUCUGAACUCAAAAGAUCAGGGAGGCUGGUUCUUUAUGACACCCUGGAGGGAAACUCUGCUCCAUGGUGGUCCUCAAUCCUGAUGAUAAACAGCGAUCUUCAGGUUCCUCAUUUUACAGAUGCAUCACUCUACUCCCCACCUCUGCCUUCCACUUUCUUUGUGCAUCUGUGUCUAAAGUCACUCUCACCAGGACACCAGUCCUAUCCAGUAGGUCCUCAUCCUAAUUUUGCUAACUGCACUCAUGGCACUCGUAUUUCCAGAUGAGGGCACCUUCUGAAGUGCCAUGAGACUGGGAAUCCCACAUGCAGUGUCUUUCUGGGAGACACAGUUCAACCCAUAGCAAAGUCCACUUCAGGGCUCUGGUCUCAAAUACAGCUACUACCGGCUUUACAGUGGCUCAACUUACAAUUCUUUGACUUUUUGAUAGCACAAAACUGAUUUACCUUAGUAGAAACCACACUUCAAAUUUUGAAAUUUGUUCUUUUCCUAGUCUAGCAAUAAGCAGUAGGAUACUCUUAAUGCUGGGCUGCAGCAACAAGGUGCAGCUCCCCCGGUUCACAUGACCAGUGUGGUGAGUAACCAGUGUGCUGGGCGCCAGUAUUUUCCGAUAUUGUGCUUUGUGUUCUUGCAUCCCAUCAUGUCUACAAAAUGCCCCUCUGCUUUCUAUUCCCAUACAGCCAUUCUGUCCUGCACUGUAAGCACAUAAUUAAAUACCUUACAUGAGGUAUUCCACAUUUUAUUACAAAAUAGGCUUUGUGUUAAACAAUUUUGCCCAACUGAAGGCUAAGGUAAGCCUUCCAAGCAUGUUUAAGAUGGGCUGGGCUAAGCUAAGAUGUUUAAUAGAUUAGGUGUAUUAAAUGAGUUUCCCAUUCAUAAUAUUUUCAACUUACUAUAGGUUUAUCAGGACGAUAUGUAUUUCUCAUUCCUUAGCAUUCUUAAGCCACCUUCCCAAAGAGAACAACUCUGAGAUAAUUGGCAGAUUUCCUUACUUAAUGUCACUGCUGAGAGAAAUUAAAAAGGAGAGAUCAAUUACUUCCUUCACACAGCAUGUCUCUUCAAAAUAAUGAUAUUUGCAUGCAUUAACUUUUGAAAAUCUUCUGGGACCUUUUAUCUCAAUUCCAUAUCUAUUUCCUCUAUUGCCUUAAUCAAUAUCUAGCCAUUUAAACACAUAGUUUAAAUCCAAGUACAUAAUAUUUGUCUUCCAUGGCACAUUAUUCUGUGCCCUAUCUGGUGAACUCUGGGGAGGAAAAGGAGACUAAGCCUGAAAAUACAGACCUUAAAUGCGGAGAACUAAAAAUUCUGAAUUACAGUACUCUAUAAUUCUUAAUAAGCCCUUUGGGUUUACAGAUUUUCCUAAUGAAAAACUAGAAAUGUUUGCAAUCAACUCAUUAAUGGUCCUAACCGUUAAACAUUAAACAAUAGGGCCAAAGAUGGAGCUGUAAUUUGUAUCCAUUCAUCUCAUCUCUUAGCCUUUUGGAAGCACUAUCAGGCAGAAGAUACACAUCACACUUCAGCAAGUUCAGUUUAGGUAUUUUGCAAAACAAAAAGGGAUACAGUGCUCAGACCUAGAUUUUGCCAUGAGAUUCUUUUAAAUUUAAGUAAAAACUGAGACUGGCACUGAGCAAUUGUGCUGGAUCAUCCUGUCAGCUUGGAUAGAAGAGACUCCUAGAGGAGUGACUGCAUUGUCACGAAGCUCUUCAGUACCUUAACCCACUAGCGAAUUCUUGGCUGAAUGGGCUGUUAGGAAAUGGAACCUGGCUGGAAGAAGUGGGUUGGGGUGACCUUGAGGUCUAUGUCUGGCCCCGGCCCUUCCUCUCUGCUUCCCAGAUGCUACCAGCUGGGCAGUUUUCUGCUGCCCAGCCCUUCCCCUGUGAUGUUUCUACCUUGGAGCCAAGAGAUCAUGGGUGAGACCUACGAAACCAUGAGUCAAAUUAUACUUCUCCUCCUUUAAGUUGCAGGCAUCAGGUAUUUUGUCCCAGCAACAGAAAGUUGAUGAAUACACUUACUCAGUCUCCAUUUGCCUAGUAUCUUUCAUUAUUUGAAUAAAUGAAUAUGCUUUAAAAGUUUUUUUAAUCUCUUAAUAGUUUUAAAAUGGUUACUACCUUGGUUAGUUAUACCAAGGAGUCAGAAAUUUUAAUUUUUCUCAAAAUACAUUACAAGUGAAAUUAACUAAAACAAUUCCUUAGCUAACAAAAUUAUUCGAGAUAAAUGAAAGCCAUUUUAAGAACAAUUUCCAAAACCAAUAUAUAUUUAAUAUAGCUUAUGGAAAAUAGGACUACUGUAAAAAGCUCAUACAACUCAAUAAAAAAGCAAAAUAUUAAACUCAAUAGGAAAAUGAACAAAGAAUAUGGGUACCUCACUGAAGUUAUAUAAGUUGUUAUGUAUGAAAAUGCUGUGGCACAAGAAAUGGGUCUAAAAUAAUAUCGAUUUCACUAAAUUGGCAAAUAUUUAAAUAUCUAUUUUAAUAAAGGUUUCAUGCAUCCUGCAUAGUUCCAGGUAGAAUAAAAUUCAUUCAACUAUUGAAAAUCAGGUUGGCACUAUACAUCAACUUUUUAAAAUUGGGCUGUUAAUUCAGUAUUUUUAUAUCCAAAAAUGUAUGUUAAUUAAAUAAAAUUUCAUUCAAUGAGCCAUCAGUGAAAUGCAAAUCAAAAUCACACAGACAUGGAACUUCAUACCCCAAAAUACUACAAAAUUUUAAAAAAUAGAUCAUAAUAAGUAUUGGUGAGGUCAUUCAGAAGCUGAAACCUUUAUUCAUACAAGGCUGGUGGAAAUAUAAAUGGUGAAGUCACUUUGGAAAGCAACCUUGCCAAUCAUAAAUGGUUAGACAGAGCUACCAUAUGACCUAUCCAUCCUUUGCACAUGUCAUCCAGUGCACAGUUUUCUAUGCACUCUCUGGCCUUAGUCGUAUAAAACAACCAACUCUGGGUAGAAAAGGAGACUCAUUAGGCCUGAAAAUACAGAACUUAAAUUCAGAGGACUAAAAAUUCAGAAUUACUAUAUAAUUGUGAAUAAUCCCUUUGGGUUUACAAAUUGUCCUAAAGAAAAACUGGAAAUGUUUGUAAUCAACUCGUUAACUUCACUAGUUAUAUGUCCAAUAGAAAUGAAAAUAUAUGCCGACACCUAAAUUGUAUGAAUAUUUAUACCAGCAUUAUUGAGAACAGCAAAAAUUGGAAACAAUCUAAAUGUCCAUUAAUUGAUGAAUGGACAUAUAAUGUAUAGUAGAGCCAUGUAAGUAAAUUGUUUUCUAAAUAAAAAAAUUAAGUACUAAUACAUGCUACAUGUUAAGGCUUAUAUUUAGAUGUCCUCCCAAAGCCUCAUGUGCUCAUAGGUGGCGCUGUUUGGAUAGCCUGGAUCAAAGCUGUGUGAUGCUGGGACUAAGGAUGUGUAAUAUCUAAAUUGGCUUACAGGGUGUGCAUAAUGGAAGCCACACCCUGGGGGUGGGUGGCACCAAUCAAUAGGCUUACAGCCUGGGUGGGAUAUACAGGGAGAGAGAGAAGAUAGAUUUGCUGCUGCUGUUGCUUGCUGCUUCACUGGCUCCUGGCUGCUUUGCCAUGGUCUGUUUCUCUUUUGCAAUGCCCUUCUGCCAUACUACCUACCCUGCCUUGGAGUCAGCCAACUAUGGACUAAAACAUUUACAAACUGUGAACUGAAAUAAACCUUUCCUCCUUUAAUUUUGAUCAUCAGUAUUUUGUCUCAGCAAUAAAAAAAGUAAUUAAAACAUUACAACAUGGAUCAUCCUUGAAAAUAUGAUAAGUGAAACCUCCUCAUGAUUCCAUUCAUAUAGAAUGUCCAAAAUAGACAAAUCUGUAGAGAAAAUAGAUGGUUGGUUGCCUAGUGCCAGCAGAGGGCUGAGGAAUUGGAGGUUGAUGGAUAAAGGAGGUGGGAUUUCCUCUUUUUUUGAUACUAGGGAUCAAACUCAGGACCUUGUGCUUGCAAGGCAGGCACUGGAACCACUGAGCUAAAUCCCCAGCCAGGAUUUCCUUUCGGGAUAAUGAAAAUGUUCUAAAUGGAUUGGUGGGGAAAAGUGUACUAUGCUCUACACUAAAAAUCACUGAAUUAAAUUUGUGAUUUGUAUAGUAUAUCAAUUAGGUCUCAAUAUAAUUGUUAUGAAAAUAGAAAUUUAGGCAAAGAUUAUUACUACAACAAGAUAGUCCUCACAACGUUAUACAACAGGAAAAUAAUGAAAGCAACCUAAAAGUUCAUCAUUAAGGAAUGUUUAAAUAAAUUAUAUUGUUUCUUCAUGAGGAAAUAUAAGUUAUUAUAAAUUUAAAGUUUCUGAAGAAUAUUGAUACCUGAAAAUUUUCAGAAUAUAUUAACAGUAGCUAUAAUAAAAGUGAAAAUAUACAAUUCAAAUUAUAUAUGUAUGCAUAGUCAUAAAAAGAGUGUCUGGAAGUAUUUAAAAUGUCACAGUGGUUAUCUAUGAAUGGUAAGCUUUAUGGGUGAUUUCUAUACUGUUUCUAUUCAUGGUAUCAUCUAAAUUCUCUCCCUUGAGAAUCUAUAUAAUUGAAAUAAUAACAUCAAAGACAAUGUAUGAAUAUAGUUAUAUUUUAAGUUUAAGGUAGUAUUUUAGCAAAAUUACUUGCAUAGCUAUAACUUUUAUAUGACCACAUUAUAGAUUCCAGAUUAAUUGCUGGUUUACACAUAACAAAAAUUUGGUAUACAGAGGCAAUUUUAUAAAGAAUAAAUCCUUAGCGGUAAAGACUUCAAGUACUCCAUUAUUUAGAUAUUCUAGAGUCUUAGCAUUUCCUACUCUCUUAUUGAUGGAGAUCUGGGCUGCUUUCAGUUUCAGACUGUUCUGAAUAACACUGCUGACAUUCUCCUUUGCAACAAUGAUAACACAUUGAUGCAAGCACACCUGUCAGGUAUUUACCCAGAAGUAGAAUUGCAUAGGCACAAUGUAAUAUAUGUUCCACUUUGGUAUGUAUUGGCAAAUAAUUUUACAAACUGGUUGUACUGAUUUACACUUUCACCAGCAGUAUUUGACAGUGCCUUUUGUCCACAUUGUCACUGAAACUUGGUAUCAUCAUCAGUUGUUUUAAUUAGUUAUUCUGCUGCUUUGUAAGUAUGAAAACAUAUCUCAAAUUGAUUUUAAUUUGCAUAGUGGCUCAUUGAUGCACUUGUGAGCAUUUUUUCAUAUUUUUAUUGAUCAUUUGAAUAUUCUAUUUUCCUCUGUUUCAGUCCUCCAAAAAUGUCAUUUCAAUUGCAUUUUUGAGGAUUAAACUAGAAUUUUAGGUUGACAGUUAAACUUUGCAAAAUUUCUUACUAUGUGCCUUGAUGUUUUUUCACCAGUAUAGGAACUGUUCUUAGCCAUUAUCUCUUCAUUCAUUACCUCUGCCACAUUCCUAGACUGCAAUUACUCAUGUUUUAGACUUUUCAUUGUAUUUCCUAUGUAUUUUACCUUCUUCUUUGUAUUUUUAUCUCCCCGUGCUUCAUUCAGGCUUAUCUUUUCAUAAAGAAUCAAUGUGUGUUCAAAUUGUCAUUACUUGUUUCAGUUACUAUAUAAAAGUACAACUGAUUUUUUUA